rnacentral:rRNA from 2 species
ACAUGCAAGUCGAACGAACCUUCGGGUUAGUGGCGGACGGGUGAGUAACGCGUGAGAAUCUGCCCUCAGGAGGGGGGAUAACGGGCUGGAAACGGCCGCUAAAUACCCCCAUAUGCCGAGAGGUGAAAAUGAAAUUUCGGCCUGAGGAUGAGCUCGCGUCUGAUUAGCUAGUUGGUGUGGUAAAGGCUCACCAAGGCUUCGAUCAGUAGCUGGUCUGAGAGGAUGAUCAGCCACACUGGGACUGAGACACGGCCCAGACUCC